rnacentral:rRNA from 1 species
AUACGUGGCAUACGGCUCAGUAACACGUAGUCAACAUGCCCAGAGGACGUGGAUAACCUCGGGAAACUGAGGAUAAACCGCGAUAGGCCAUGAUUCCUGGAAUGGUUCAUGGCCGAAAUCUAUAUGGCCUUUGGAUUGGACUGCGGCCGAUCAGGCUGUUGGUGAGGUAAUGGCCCACCAAACCUGUUACCGGUACGGGCUCUGAGAGGAGGAGCCCGGAGAUGGGCACUGAGACAAGGGCCCAGGCCCUAUGGGGCGCAGCAGGCGCGAAACCUCUGCAAUAGGCGAAAGCUUGACAGGGUUAUUCUGAGUGAUUUCCGCUAAGGAAAUCUUUUGGCACCUCUAAAAAUGGUGCAGAAUAAGGGGUGGGCAAGCCUGGUGUCAGCCGCCGCGGUAAUACCAGCACCCCGAGUGGUCGGGACGAUUAUUGGGCCUAAAGCAUCCGUAGCCGGUUCUACAAGUCUUCCGUUAAAUCCAUCUGCUUAACAGAUGGGCUGCGGAGGAUACUAUGGAGCUAGGAGGCGGGAGAGGCAAGCGGUACUUAGUGGGUAGGGGUAAAAUCCGUUGAUCCACUGAAGACCACCAGUGGCGAAGGCGGCUUGCCAGAACGCGCUCGACGGUGAGGGAUGAAAGCUGGGGGAGCAAACCGGAUUAGAUACCCGGGUAGUCCCAGCUGUAAACGAUGCAGACUCGGUGAUGAAUAGGCUUCGUGCCUUUUCAGUGCCGCAGGGAAGCCGUUAAGUCUGCCGCCUGGGGAGUACGGUCGCAAGACUGAAACUUAAAGGAAUUGGCGGGGGAGC